GGAGAGGCGCACCAGGGCAGGGGUGCCAAGUGCUGGGCGCCCCGGUCUCCGCCGAGCCUGUGGAUCUGGGAGGCCCGCUCCACAGCUCUGUCACUCGGAGACUGACUCAGCUGGCAGCCGUAGGGCCCGGUUGCCGGGGGAAAUGCUGUCGGCACAUUUAUUCUGGGUUUGGAUAUUUAAAGAGCUGGGUGUGUGGCACGACAUUUCGGAAGUGCUUGGGGAGGGAGGGUUUACGGACUAGGGCUUUUUUUUUAACCGUUGUAGAUAUCCUGUCCUGAUCUCUCGGUCCACGAAGAGUGAUUUUCUUCCCUAAGAAUCGGACGUGGGUUCUGCCCAUCGUGUCUGCCUGGCUGUGCAGCCCGGCAGGAAGCAGGUGGCCCGAGCUGGCACCUGGCUGCUGUGGGUCCCCAUCCAGUGCCACCCUGCCCCCCGGACGAGGAGCCGGGCAGUGGCCCCCGAGAUGCAUGUGGAGAAAUCUUCCAGAACUGAGGCCCCGUCAGCGAAUUGCAGCUGUGGUGAAUGUAAAGGAACCGGCUUCUCACACCCCGCACCGUGGCAUCAGCGAUGUCCCCUGCCCUCGAAGUCUUGUGGGUGCAGUUUGCAAGCCUCCGUGGCUCUCCUUUGGCUCCGCCGCCAGCAAAGCAACAUCCAAGACAUUAGCCCACGUUAAGGAGGAAGGAGGACAGGAAAACUGCACAGCAUAAUCCACGUUUAGUUUGCACAGUUUUCUGUAACAAACCUGAGAGUAGAGGCAGGUGAUGUGAUCCGAGGUGCAAGCUCAGUCCUGCCUCCAAACAAGAUGGGUUUCUUGGCCGCCCUGGGCCUCAAUUUCCUCACCUCUAAAGGGUGAACGCUGGUGCUACCCACCCCACAGGUACAUUCUGAAGGUCUGGUGUAGGUGAAAUGAUGCAUAAGAAGCCCAGGGAAGGCCCAGGGAUGGGAACCAUUGUGGCUUUACAGUAUAAUCAUACAAAUUCUAGAAGUUACAGGAUUAUAGGCUGAAUUAUGUCCCCCAAACAUUAAUCUGUUGACGCCCUAACCCCUAGGAGCUCCGAAUGUGAAAGUAUUUGGAGACAGGGGUCUUUACAGGGGUAAUUGCAUGAAAAUGAGGUCCCUAGGGUGGACCCUAAUCCCACGGGACUGGUGUCCUUAAAAGAAGAGUUGAUUAGGACGCAGACGCACACGGAGGGAAGACCACCUGAGGACACAGGGAGAAGACGGCAUCUCCAGGCCAAGGAGGGAGGCCUCCAAAGAAACCGUCCCUGCCGACACCCUGACCUCGGACUUCCAGCCUCCGAACGUCUGUUCUCUACGUCGGUGAGUCCGUCUCUGUUGCGUAAAUAAAGGCAUUGGUGUCGAUACGUAUCGUGUGUCGUGUGAGUGACAUCAUCUGCUUGUAAUCCACGACUGUUGACUCUUGGUGCAGCGUCGGACAGCUGCUAUACCCAGCGCUCGUUCAUCUCACGUGCCUGAAACUUUAUGCCUGUCGAUCAGGAAUACCCCAUUCUCCUCUCCUUCCAGUCCCUGGCAGCCAGCAUUGCGCUCGGGCUCUACGAAUGUGACCUUUUAAUUUCAGAUGCCUCAUAUAUAUACUGGGCAAUUAUUUUGUGCCAGACAAUCUUCUAGGUGCUGGAGAUACAGCAUUGAAGAAAACAGACGAAAUCUCGCCUUCAUGGUAGCUUGCAUUCAAGCGGGAGAAACAUAUGAUAAGCCUCAUAUAAAUGAAGUAGACGUAAACACCCCCCGAUUGCUGCAAGCCUUCGGUUAAUUUUCUGAACUCUGCAAAAGUCGAUGGUGACGAUUUUUGCCGCGGUUCCCAGAGAGGACGUUCAGAGGUCUCUACGCCGACACGACUCUAGACGGGACACUUGAGGCUGGAAGUUGACAUAAACGAAGCUGGCUGGGCAGGGUGCACCCAGAGGUUUCCGUGGAAUCUUCAGUGGGCUAAUUCGCCUGACCGGUUGGAUGCGGCGGAAGUGAUAUGCCGGAACUCCCAGGGCUAGGUGAGGAAACGACUUGCAGCAUUUACUUCCAGGCUUUUGGAACUUGUAAGCAGUCUGACCGUGCUGGGGAGGUGACAUGUAGGCGCUCUGACUGGCAGUCCUCGCUGGGCCUGGCCUCCCAGCCAAGGCACCAGACAUGAGAGUGAGGCCAUCCUGGUCUCCCCAGACCAGCCCAUCUGCUGGCUGAGUAACACUGAGUGAUAUCACUGAUACCAGAGGAAUAGAAGAAUCGCUCAGCUGAGCCCAGCCCAGAUUCCUGAUUGGCAACAUGUAACGUGUGAACGCGGAAGACUGCACCCAGCUGCCGUGAGCUGCUCGGGGAUACAAGACGCAAACACACACAGACCCCCGCCAACACCUCCAGCUACCUCGGUUCACGGCGAACAGGGAGCCGCGCCCCGGCACGCCAGGUGCUACCACUUUCCAUCCGAUUUCAGGCUGCCAUGUUGCAUCACUUUUUCUGUGGAGUUGCUGUGCGGGUUCCGGGGAGAAGAAAAGAAUGAUGCGUAUUAUAACUCAUCAUAAAGUCGCUGAUUUGUCUUCUUUAAGCAACUGCUGUCGAAAUGAGAUGACAAAGAACUUCAGGCUGUAGCUGCCCCAGUGAAGGGAGCUGAGGAAGGGUAAAGACAGUGUGUCACUGGGGAAAGCUGCCAACUAUGGUGGCGUCUCCCUGGCACCAGCCGAACAACCUGAAACCUGAACAGCCACAUCGAUGGGGGACACACAGAGACAGAACAGCUGGGGAAUUGAACAAACUUUCCACUUGGUAGCCUAGUCUCUUGGCGUCAUGGAGAUUAAGAUUUUACUGAUCUCACCGGACAAUUGUUCAAACCUUUGCCAUGCUCUGUUUUCGUAGAUACUCGUUUCGCAUUCCCAGGGAAAAAGAAUCCACACCUGCUUAAUCAUUUCAAACACAACAGAUAGAGGGCAUUUAUUACAAAUUAGUGAGAAAAGCGGUUGUUUCCCCCUCCCCAUUUUUUGCUAGAAUUUCAAAGGUUUCCUCUGUCAGAAAAAGAUGGCUUGGCAAUCUCUAAUGAUAAGGACAAAUUAAAAGGAAAAACUGGCUGAGAGAGAACACGUUUUAUUCUCUUUUUACAUUUAUUUUUAAUUUACGUAAAGUACAGUACAGUAACAUUUGCCCUUUGUGGUGUACAGUUGUGUGGGUUUUGACAACUGCCUAUGCCCACGUAUUGUGUUUCCAUGAGCAUAAUCACAUAGGAAGAGUUCCACCAGUCCCAAAUUCCCUUUGGAGGAGUAGCCCUUCCCCCCAUCCCCACCCCGGCCAACAGUGAUCUGUCCUCUGCCUUUAUAGUUUUGCCUUUUCCAGAACGUUAUAUAAAUGGA